GAUGAAGAACGUAGCGAAAUGCGAUACUUGGUGUGAAUUGCAGAAUCCCGUGAACCAUCGAGUCUUUGAACGCAAGUUGCGCCCGAAGCCAUUAGGCCGAGGGCACGCCUGCCUGGGUGUCACACGUCGUUGCCCCCCCAUCUACUCCUUCGGGAUUGCGGGGGGCGGAUGAUGGCCUCCCGUGCGCCUCGUCGCGCGGUUGGCAUAAAUGCCAAGUCCUCGGCGACGCACGCCACGACAAUCGGUGGUUGCGAAACCUCGGUUGCCCGUCGGGUGCGGUCGUCGCGCAUCGAGGGCUCGAAAACAUUGCCGGGCUCCGGCUCGGCUUUCAACGCGACCCCAGGUCAGGCGGGGUUACCCGCUGAAUUUAAGCAUAUCAAUAAGCGGAGGA
rnacentral:misc_RNA from 1 species